UUGUCCGGAAUCAUUGGGCGUAAAGCGCGCGUAGGCGGCCCGGUAAGUCCGCUGUAAAAGUCCAGGGCUCAACCCUGGAAAGCCGGUGGAUACUGUCGGGCUAGAGUCCGGAAGAGGCGAGUGGAAUUCCUGGUGUAGCGGUGGAAUGCGCAGAUAUCAGGAGGAACACCGAUGGCGAAGGCAGCUCGCUGGGACGGUACUGACGCUGAGGCGCGAAAGCGUGGGGAGCGAACAGG
rnacentral:rRNA from 1 species